UGGGGACAGGAGUGGGAUGCGCCCCGCAGGGCUGGGGAUCCCCCCGUGGCCGCAAGCGCACGGCGAGGGCACCCUCGUGUCCCCAAAAGCGGACCCCGGAGGUGGCCGCAGUGACACCCAUGGGUGCAGGACACCGGGACACCACGCACGGCUCCGGGAGCAUUUCCCCGGCCGCCCCCCUGGGUUCCCACCCUCGCCGGCGGUGGCACCGGAGCAGCCUCACCACGACCACGGCCACGGCCACGGCCACGGCCACGGCGCACGGAUGUCCCCGUUCAGCCCAAGGCCCUGCCGUGGAGAAGGGGACAUUUUGGGAGCAGCGUUGGUGAUGCCGGGGGGGUCCCAGCCGCCCCCCCCCGACCCCUGCUGAUUUUGGGGCUGAUGGAGGUGAUCUGGGGGCAGCCCUGGGCCUGUGGCUCCCGUCUGUGCCAUGUCCCCACCGGUCUGUGCCAUGUUCCUACCACCCUGUGCCGUGUCACCACCACCCUGUGCCAUGUCCCCACCGCUCUGUGCCAUGUCCCUGCUGCUCUGUGCCAUGUCACCACCACCCUGUGCCAUGUCACCACCGCUCUGUGCCAUGUCCCCAUCAUGCCUGUGCCACAUCCCCACCAGCCUGUGCCGUCUCCAUCUGUGCGCACUGCGUCCCCGCCGUCCCAGGCCGUGUGGCACCUGGCGCGUGCCACGUCCCUGCUGGGUUGUGCCGUGUCCCCAUCACUCUGUGCCAUGUCCCCAUCACUCUGUGCCGUGUCCCCACCGGUCUGUGCCGUGUCCCCAUCGUGGCUCUGCCACAUCCCCGUCACCCUGUGCCACAUCCCCACCACUCCGUGCCGUGUCCCCACCACUCUGUGCCAUGUCCCCAUCAUCCUGUGCCGUGUCCCUGCCCACCUGUGCCAUGUCCCCUCCACCCUGUGCCACGUCCCCACCGCUCCAUGCCACGUCCCCAUGGGUCCCCUGCCCCCGACACCAGCAGCACCCCCAGGAUUUCUCUCUGCUCCCCGAUGCCCCCCGUGCCCAGGAUGCUGCCAGACCCCCCCCCCUUUACCCUGCCUGCCCCCCCCCAGCCUGGCACGUUGCCCACCCAGGGUCCAGGUGUCCCCGUGCCACACGCGGCUGCGGCAGGACCCUGGGGUGCUGGGGCUGGGUGGCUCUGCAGGACGUCC
rnacentral:lncRNA from 1 species